rnacentral:rRNA from 1 species
ACGGGUGAGUAAUGUCUGGGGAUCUGCCCGAUAGAGGGGGAUAACCACUGGAAACGGUGGCUAAUACCGCAUAACGUCGCAAGACCAAAGAGGGGGACCUUCGGGCCUCUCACUAUCGGAUGAACCCAGAUGGGAUUAGCUAGUAGGCGGGGUAACGGCCCACCUAGGCGACGAUCCCUAGCUGGUCUGAGAGGAUGACCAGCCACACUGGAACUGAGACACGGUCCAGACUCCUACGGGAGGCAGCAGUGGGGAAUAUUGCACAAUGGGCGCAAGCCUGAUGCAGCCAUGCCGCGUGUAUGAAGAAGGCCUUCGGGUUGUAAAGUACUUUCAGCGGGGAGGAAGGCGAUGUGGUUAAUAACCGCAUUGAUUGACGUUACCCGCAGAAGAAGCACCGGCUAACUCCGUGCCAGCAGCCGCGGUAAUACGGAGGGUGCAAGCGUUAAUCGGAAUUACUGGGCGUAAAGCGCACGCAGGCGGUCUGUUAAGUCAGAUGUGAAAUCCCCGGGCUUAACCUGGGAACUGCAUUUGAAACUGGCAGGCUUGAGUCUCGUAGAGGGGGGUAGAAUUCCAGGUG